rnacentral:tRNA from 1 species
CUCCCUGUGGCUCAGUUGGUAGAGAAUGGUGUUUGCAACGCCAGGGUUGUGGUUUCAAUUCCCACAGGGGGC